UUAGUCCCGCACAUUGCUUAACCACCAUCCUCACCACAAUCACCGAUUCACCGUCGCUUGCCACCGGAAAAACCCUAGCUUGCUCAACACAGCCCUAAUCGAACCACCUUCUGGUUCAUUUGUGCUAUCAGAGGCUUCCGAUCAGCGCACCCGGGAACGUGUGGACUAAGCAUCACAUUGUCUGGGACCGGAUCAGAUAGGGGUCGGGUUUUUGGUGGUGAUCUAGCUGGACUCUUAACUGUUGCAUCUCCUGUUCAGAGCAUAGAGAAUUGCGGAGCUUGGUCAUAAGCAUGAUAAAGGUGUGUAUGUUGGUGUUGAAGAUGAUGGCUUGGAUGAAAGUGAUUCACAAUGUGACAUUAAAUUUGAUGAAGAAGCUGAUACAUGGAAAGAAAUGAGUGUUGGAUUAGAGCUGAUUGUGGAUUAAAGUUCCUAAUCGGCUCAGCCACUGAAUUGAUUGGAGAGAAGUUUGUAGCUCAAUCUGUGGAGUGUCUACUUUGCCCACUAUCUGUAUGGUGUCAGGUCAAACCAGAGGUGAUAAUGAUGUGGCAUAUGUUCAUGGAGGUGAAACCUCAUUGCAAGUAGAACCUGUUUUGACCCAUUAGCUAAAACAUUUUGCCUUGAUUUUUUGGAGACUCAUUUGCUAUCUGAACUGUUGAGCUUGUGUCUAAAAAGGAAGAAUUAUGGCAAACAAUGGCAGAAUCAUCCCCUUUUGGGAGAGUAUAUGUUGUACAUUACAUUUGUGACCAUGAGUCUUUGGUAUAUAUUUGGCAAGUAGCUUUGUUGCAAACAAAUCGAGUUUCA